GAAAUGCGAUAAGUAAUGUGAAUUGCAGAAUUCCGUGAAUCAUCGAAUCUUUGAACGCACAUUGCGCCCUUUGGUAUUCCGAAGGGCAUGCCUGUCCGAGCGUCAUUGCAAACCCUCAAGCCCGGCUUGCGUGAUGGGCACCGCGUCUGUCCCCCGGGGCAGACGGGCCCGAAAUGCAGUGGCGGCGUCGCGGUAAUCCGAUCAGCCAGAGCGUAUGGGGACAUCUCGUCACACGCUCCAGGUGCGGACCGGCGCCCGCUCGAGACCAUCUCACAACCAAGGUUUGACCUCGGAUCAGGUAGGGAUACCCGCUGAACUUAA
rnacentral:misc_RNA from 1 species